rnacentral:lncRNA from 1 species
AAAAAAUCUGGAGAACACCUCCCAAAAAAAAAUCAGGAAGGGCCCCAAAAAUAUCGGGGGGACCCCAAAAAAUUCCCCAAAUUUUCCACCGAGGCCUUGGCACCCCAAAAUUUACCCUGAGGGGCAAAAUUUGGGAGGGAGCCCCCUAAAAAAUCAGAAUUUUCCCCGAAAAUCCCCAAAUUUGGGUUGUUUUGGGGUUUUCUUUGUGCUGGAUUUGAAUGGGGGACCCCAAAAUUUGACACCUCAAAUUUGUCACCCAGGUGUUAUUUCCCAGCGUUUUGGGGUGAUUUCUCAUCAUUUUGGGGUCAUUCCUGACCACUUUGGCCUCCUUGCCACCACCCCGGUGGUCACUCCCUCAGUGUCCAGCAGCGUCCAGGUGUCCGGCGGUCACUCCCCACAAUUUUGGGGUCACUUCGAGCCACUUCAGGGGUCACUCUGUGCCACUCUGGUGGUCACUUUGUGGUCACUUCGCCCCCAGGCCAGUGGUCACCGCCUCAAUGUCCAGCGGUCACUCCCCACGAUUUUGGGGACACUUUGUGCCACUUUGGGGUCACUUUGUGCCACUUUGGGGGUCACUCUGAUGGUCACUUUGUAGUCACUUUGGCCUCCUUGCCAUCACCCCAGUGGU